GACGAACGCUGGCGGCGUGCUUAACACAUGCAAGUCGAACGGAAAGGCCCUGCUUUUGUGGGGUGCUCGAGUGGCGAACGGGUGAGUAACACGUGAGUAACCUGCCCUUGACUUUGGGAUAACUUCAGGAAACUGGGGCUAAUACCGGAUAGGAGCUCCUGCUGCAUGGUGGGGGUUGGAAAGUUUCGGCGGUUGGGGAUGGACUCGCGGCUUAUCAGCUUGUUGGUGGGGUAGUGGCUUACCAAGGCUUUGACGGGUAGCCGGCCUGAGAGGGUGACCGGCCACAUUGGGACUGAGAUACGGCCCAGACUCCUACGGGAGGCAGCAGUGGGGAAUAUUGCACAAUGGGCGGAAGCCUGAUGCAGCAACGCCGCGUGCGGGAUGACGGCCUUCGGGUUGUAAACCGCUUUCGCCUGUGACGAAGCGUGAGUGACGGUAAUGGGUAAAGAAGCACCGGCUAACUACGUGCCAGCAGCCGCGGUGAUACGUAGGGUGCGAGCGUUGUCCGGAUUUAUUGGGCGUAAAGGGCUCGUAGGUGGUUGAUCGCGUCGGAAGUGUAAUCUUGGGGCUUAACCCUGAGCGUGCUUUCGAUACGGGUUGACUUGAGGAAGGUAGGGGAGAAUGGAAUUCCUGGUGGAGCGGUGGAAUGCGCAGAUAUCAGGAGGAACACCAGUGGCGAAGGUGGUUCUCUGGGCCUUUCCUGACGCUGAGGAGCGAAAGCGUGGGGAGCGAACAGGCUUAGAUACCCUGGUAGUCCACGCUGUAAACGGUGGGUACUAGGUGUGGGGUCCAUUCCACGGGUUCCGUGCCGUAGCUAACGCUUUAAGUACCCCGCCUGGGGAGUACGGCCGCAAGGCUAAAACACAAAGGGAUUGACGGGGCCCCGCACAAGCGGCGGAGCAUGCGGAUUAAUUCGAUGCAACGCGUAGAACCUUACCUGGGUUUGACAUGGAUCGGGAGUGCUCAGAGAUGGGUGUGCCUCUUUUGGGGUCGGUUCACAGGUGGUGCAUGGCUGUCGUCAGCUCGUGUCGUGAGAUGUUGGGUUAAGUCCCGCAACGAGCGCAACCCUUGUUCACUGUUGCCAGCACGUUAUGGUGGGGACUCAGUGGAGACCGCCGGGGUCAACUCGGAGGAAGGUGGGGAUGACGUCAAGUCAUCAUGCCCCUUACGUCCAGGGCUUCACGCAUGCUACAAUGGCUGGUACAGAGAGUGGCGAGCCUGUGAGGGUGAGCGAAUCUCGGAAAGCCGGUCUCAGUUCGGAUUGGGGUCUGCAACUCGACCUCAUGAAGUCGGAGUCGCUAGUAAUCGCAGAUCAGCAACGCUGCGGUGAAUACGUUCCCGGG
rnacentral:rRNA from 1 species